AGGAGGGUUUUGAUCAUGGCUCAGAGCGAACGCUGGCGGUACGCCUAACACAUGCAAGUCGAGCGAGAAAGUGACUUCGGUCACGAGUAGAGCGGCGGACGGGUGAGUAAUGCGUGGAUAAUCUACCCUUAAGUCUGGGAUAACUUCGGGAAACUGAAGCUAAUACCGGAUAUGACCACGCCAUUUGCGAAUGAAGUGGUGAAAGGUGGCUAGCUUGCUAGCUAUCACUUAGGGAUGAGUCCACGUCCCAUCAGGUUGUUGGUGAGGUAAAUGCUCACCAAGCCUAAGACGGGUAGCCGACCUUAGCGGGUGAACGGCCACACGGGGACUGAGACACGGCCCCGACUCCUACGGGAGGCAGCAGUGGGGAAUAUUGGGCAAUGGGCGAAAGCCUGACCCAGCGAUACCGCGUGAGGGAUGAAGGCUUUCGAGUUGUAAACCUCUGUCAAGAGGGAAGAUGGGUCUGUAAGCUAAUACCUUACAGACUUGACGGUACCUCUGAAGGAAGCCCCGGCUAACUCCGUGCCAGCAGCCGCGGUAAUACGGAGGGGGCAAGCGUUGCUCGGAAUUACUGGGCGUAAAGGGUCCGCAGGUGGUUUUGUAAGUUAGAUGUGAAAGCUCAGGGCUUAACCCUGAAAUUGCAUCUAAAACUGCUUAACUUGAGUCCAGGAGAGGUUGGCGGAAUUCCCGGUGUAGCGGUGAGAUGCGUAGAUAUCGGGAGGAACACCAAUGGCGAAGGCAGCCAACUGGCCUGGUACUGACACUCAGGGACGAAAGCGUGGGGAGCAAACCGGAUUAGAUACCCGGGUAGUCCACGCCCUAAACGAUGGAUGCUAGGUGUAGGGAUUUUUAUUUCUGUGCCGUAGUUAACGCAUUAAGCAUCCCGCCUGGGGAGUACGGUCGCAAGGCUGAAACUCAAAGGAAUUGGCGGGGGCCCGCACAAGCGGUGGAGCAUGUGGUUUAAUUCGAUGCAAAGCGAAGAACCUUACCAGGGUUUGACAUGUUACUUAAAUCCUAUGUGAAAAUAUAGGGAAUGUUUUAAGCUUGCUUAAAAUAGUUAACACAGGUGCUGCAUGGCUGUCGUCAGCUAGUGCCGUGAGGUGUCCGGUUAAGUCCGGUAACGAGCGCAACCCUUAUCUUUAGUUGCCAGCGCUUAGGGCGGGAACUCUAAAGAGACUGCCGGCGACAAGCCGGAGGAAGGUGGGGACGACGUCAAGUCAUCAUGGCCCUUACGUCCUGGGCUACACACAUGCUACAAUGGCUAGUACAAUGGGCUGCGAAUUCGUAAGGAGAAGCUAAUCCCAUCAAAGCUAGCCUAAGUUCGGAUUGUAGGCUGCAACUCGCCUACAUGAAGUUGGAAUCGCUAGUAAUCGCGGAUCAGCAACGCCGCGGUGAAUACGUUCCCGGGCCUUGCACACACCGCCCGUCACACCACGAAAGUUGGUUCUACCCGAAGUGGCUGUGCUAACCUUCGGGAGGCAGGUCCCUAAGGUAGGGCUGGUGAUUGGGGUGAAGUCGUAACCAAGGUAGCC
rnacentral:rRNA from 1 species